CUCUGGAGCUGUGGAUUGUGGUCUAGUUAUCCAUUUAUGAGAAGAAAUUGCUGUAAUAUUAAAUAGUUCACCAAAGAAAGCACUUGCUUAGAAAUUUCCAUCCUGCAAUAUGUUCUAAAAAAGCAAGCCACAGAUCUGGGAGGUGGAGGAUUUGAAGCUCUCCCCAACCUUCCUUCUGUUUCUGUUUCUGCAUGUGCUUCUGUCCUUGUCUGUGUGGGCAGAUGGCAUAUGUUCCUGAAAAUGUGUGUUUCAUAGUCUCGCUAGAGUUGUACACCUCUUCAAUACCAUGCACUUGAAAGACUCCCGACAACCCUGUUUUUGAGACAGAGAUCAUCUCCAUCUGAAUGUGUGGAAUCAAGAUAGAGAAGGCUGCAUACAAAGGAAAUAAAGACCCUGAUUUUGUCACACACACACACACACACACACACACACACACACACA